GAACGCUAGCUACAGGCUUAACACAUGCAAGUCGAGGGCAGCAUGGUCUUAGCUUGCUAAGGCCGAUGGCGACCGGCGCACGGGUGAGUAACACGUAUCCAACCUGCCGUCUACUCUUGGACAGCCUUUCUGAAAAGGAAGAUUAAUACAAGAUGGCAUCAUGAGUCCGCAUGUUCACAUGAUUAAAGGUAUUCCGGUAGACGAUGGGGGAAUGCGUUCCAUUAGAUAGUAGGCGGGGUAACGGCCCACCUAGUCUUCGAUGGAUAGGGGGUUCUGAGAGGAAGGUCCCCCACAUUGGAACUGAGACACGGUCCAAACUCCUACGGGAGGCAGCAGUGAGGAAUAUUGGUCAAUGGGCGAGAGCCUGAACCAGCCAAGUAGCGUGAAGGAUGACUGCCCUAUGGGUUGUAAACUUCUUUUAUAAAGGAAUAAAGUCGGGUAUGUAUACCCGUUUGCAUGUACUUUAUGAAUAAGGAUCGGCUAACUCCGUG
rnacentral:rRNA from 1 species